rnacentral:lncRNA from 1 species
GGGGUGUUGUGUGAUAAGAAGGUGCCGACCAAGCUUAAAGGCAAAUUCUAUAAGGUGGCAGUCCGUCCGACCAUGUUAUAUAGAGUGGAGUAUUGGCAAGUUAAGAACUCUCACAUUCAAAAAUUGAGGGUGGCGGAAAUACGGAUGUUGCGUUGGAUGUGUGGGUUUACUAGGGGUGAUAGAGUUCGGAAUGAGAUUAUUCGGGA